rnacentral:rRNA from 1 species
CAGAGGGUGCGAGCGUUAAUCGGAAUUACUGGGCGUAAAGCGUGCGUAGACGGUUAUUUAAGUCGGAUGUGAAAGCCCCGGGCUCAACCUGGGAAUUGCAUUCGAGACUGAAUAGCUAGGGUGCGGUAGAGGGAAGCGGAAUUUCCGGUGUAGCGGUGAAAUGCGUAGAUAUCGGAAGGAACAUCAGUGGCGAAAGCGGCUUCCUGGACCAGCACCGACGUUCAGGCACGAAAGCGUGGGGAGCAAACAGGAUUAGAUACCCUGGUAGUCCACGCCAUAAACGAUGAGGACUAGACGUUGGAGGGGUAAGCCUUUCAGUGUCGUAGCUAACGCGCUAAGUCCUCCGCCUGGGGAGUACGGCCGCAUGGUUG